GACGAACGCUGGCGGCGUGCCUAACACAUGCAAGUCGAACGAAGCAUAGCAAUAUGCUUAGUGGCGGACGGGUGAGUAACGCGUGAACAAUCUGCCCUGUACAAAGGAAUAGCCUCGGGAAACCGGGAUUAAAACCGUAUGACACUUUAGUAUCGCAUGAUAAGAAAGUCAAAUCGAAUAGAGGUAUGGGAUGAGUUCGCGUCUGAUUAGCUGGUUGGCGGGGUAACGGCCCACCAAGGCGACGAUCAGUAGCCGGCCUGAGAGGGUGAACGGCCACACUGGAACUGAGACACGGUCCAGACUCCUACGGGAGGCAGCAGUGGGGAAUAUUGCACAAUGGAGGGAACUCUGAUGCAGCGACGCCGCGUGAGUGAAGAAGGUCUUCGGAUCGUAAAACUCUGUCCUUGGUGAAGAAAGGACGGUAGCCAAGGAGGAAGCCCCGGCUAACUACGUG
rnacentral:rRNA from 1 species